UGAACACUGCUUUCUGGAUGUUCAUGAAGUUUUUGAUUUCAUAAAUAAGUUGUCAUUUCUUAAUGGAUUGGCAGUCCUAUGUUUCCAUAUUAAUCUUUUUAUGCAUCCGGAGAAGGAAGAAAAAGGGGGAAUUUUCCAAAGCCUCUGAUCUCCCUUGUGGUUUGUACUUGGUUUGUGAUACUUGCUUCUGAAAAGUCAAAAGAAGAAAAUCUAUGCAUG
rnacentral:misc_RNA from 1 species